GUAGUUUCGAUACCCAUGACCUUCGCGACCCUGCUUACCCGCCGCAGCAUUAUUACCGCCAUUCCAGCUAUGGCGGGUUAGCCAGCGUCCACUCCGAACCCGCCCUCGAGGCGGGUUCU
rnacentral:sRNA from 2 species